AGGCUGCCGGGUGGCAGGGCCGGCAGGCUCUGCCUUGUAUCCACCAGCCUCACCUGCGCCCGAGAUCAACUCCCCGGCGGGCUCCGCGCUGGGUCCAUCCUGUGCAGUAACAGGUGUGAGCAUCCAUGCAGCGUUUUGAUGGUCAUGUAUGAUACUGCAUACAAUA
rnacentral:snoRNA from 1 species